rnacentral:lncRNA from 1 species
CCUCAACUUUUACUCCCUCCUCCCCCCCUUCUUUUAACUACUGAUUACUUUUCUUCCCAGUUUCCAUUACGACUGGGACACGAGUUCCAGCAGCAUGAAUGACCCCAUGGUGGACUCGGGAAAAGCCAGUGAUAUCUCAGUGUCCAGUUGGCCCAUGGAGCCCAUCCAGUGGACACCUUUUCCCCUCCUCCACCAGCUUUCAAAGCAGCGACCGCACAAAGCCCGACGGCCUCACUCCUACUGCGAGGGGAUGGAGCUGGUCAACCUCGAGAGGAGCUGGACGGCCUGAAGGCCAGGCAGAGCAACACACGGGCACCGAGGUUCAGCUUUUAAAACCAACCACAUUUUAUUUCCACGUAACAAGCUCAGUGAAGGAAUUUCAAACACUUUGACAAUACAAUCAACGCAGGUGUGAUGUCAGUUCCACUCGAGGCAGAGUCCUGAAAGAGUUUCUGCCAACGUUUUUCACCACUGCUUCGGACCAGACUUCAGAAGCCAGCUUUGGCUUGGGACAGCGUAUUUCAUAGUAAGUAGUUACAGAUAAGUGUCUAGUAACACACAAUGCUGGCAUCCAACAGAGUUAAUGACUUACAUCCGGCAAUUUGAAAAUAAAGUCUAACAGAUUUGUUGAAGUCA